GACAGAGGCCUCAAGCGUUAGGCGGAAUCACUGGGCUUAAAGCGUGUGUAGGCGGACUUCUAAGGGCCUUGUGAAAUCCCACGGCUCAACCGUGGAACUGCUGGGCAUACUGGGAGUCUUGGGCCAUUCAGGGGCAACUGGAACAAGCGGUGGAGCGGUGAAAUGCGUAGAUAUUAGGAGGAACACCGGUGGCGAAGGCGGCUACCUGGACCGAUAUUGACGCUGAGACGCGAAAGCGUGGGGAGCAAACAGG
rnacentral:rRNA from 1 species